GCCUUUCGGGGUGGAUUAGUGGCGAACGGGUGAGUAACACGUGGGCAAUCUGCCCUUCACUCUGGGACAAGCCCUGGAAACGGGGUCUAAUACCGGAUAACACUCUGUCCCGCAUGGGACGGGGUUAAAAGCUCCGGCGGUGAAGGAUGAGCCCGCGGCCUAUCAGCUUGUUGGUGGGGUAAUGGCCUACCAAGGCGACGACGGGUAGCCGGCCUGAGAGGGCGACCGGCCACACUGGGACUGAGACACGGCCCAGACUCCUACGGGAGGCAGCAGUGGGGAAUAUUGCACAAUGGGCGAAAGCCUGAUGCAGCGACGCCGCGUGAGGGAUGACGGCCUUCGGGUUGUAAACCUCUUUCAGCAGGGAAGAAGCGAAAGUGACGGUACCUGCAGAAGAAGCGCCGGCUAACUACGUGCCAGCAGCCGCGGUAAUACGUAGGGCGCAAGCGUUGUCCGGAAUUAUUGGGCGUAAAGAGCUCGUAGGCGGCUUGUCACGUCGGAUGUGAAAGCCCGGGGCUUAACCCCGGGUCUGCAUUCGAUACG
rnacentral:rRNA from 1 species